UACGUAGGGGGCAAGCGUUGUCCGGAAUCAUUGGGCGUAAAGAGCGUGUAGGCGGCCCGGUAAGUCCGCUGUGAAAGUCCAGGGCUCAACCCUGGGAUGCCGGUGGAUACGGGCAAGACUAGAGUGCGGGUAGGGGAGACUGGAAGUUCCUGGUGGUAGACGGUGAAAUGCGCAGAUAUCAGGAGGAACACCGGUGGCGAAGGCGGGUCUCUGGGCCGUAACUGACG
rnacentral:rRNA from 1 species